rnacentral:rRNA from 1 species
GCAAGUCGAACGAAGCUUUAGGGCUUAGUGGCGGACGGGUGAGUAACGCGUGAGAAUCUGCCUCGAGGAUGGGGACAACAGUUGGAAACGACUGCUAAUACCCAAUAUGGCGAAAGCUGAAAUUAUUUAGCCUUGAGAGGAGCUCGCGUCCGAUUAGUUAGUUGGUGGGGUAAAAGCCUACCAAGGCAGCGAUCGGUAGCUGGUCUGAGAGGAUGAGC